GGGGAUUUAGCUCAGCGACAUAAGCACCUGCCUUACAAGCAGGCGGUCGUGAGUUCGAUCCCCGGAUCCCCG
rfam:Cavia porcellus supercont2_102 genomic scaffold, whole genome shotgun sequence.